AGUCCAUGAAAAGGGAAUAGUCUUAACAAAUACUUAUAACGCUCCCACGUGUCAAACACUGAUUCUCCAUCUUCUUGUCUAAAACUAUUAAUCUCAUUCCUAACUUU